CUGGGAGUUAAACUAACACUCCAUAGACAAAGAAUGGUAUCACUCAACUAUGCCCCACUAGCGAAUAUCUGUAAUUCAAUCUUCCAGAAAUGGAAAGAUGUACAUUUGUCUUGGAUGGGGAGACUGAACACAAUCAAGAUGGUAGUACUACCAAAAAUUCUGUAUUUAGAAUGUUACCCUUACAGGUUCCAUUACAACUACUCAAAACCGUCCAAACCACACUAAACAAAUUUGUGUGGAGAGACAUGAGGCCACGCUUACCCGUUUCACUCCUCCAUGUACAACCAACAGAUGGGGGCUUGGGUCUCCCGACAAUAUUGACCUACUAUAAAGCCAUCCUAGAGUCAGCUAUAAGAUUACAUGCUCCAAAAAAUACUUUCCAAUGGGCAGAUAUGGAACAAGACAAAUCACACCCACAUACCCUAACGAACAUCUUAUGGUCACCAAAGUCACACCGACCACAUACAAAUGUACUAUACCCUACAUCUGCCCUUACUUUGAAGAUAUGGGACAACCUCAGACCUAACCGACUCGAAGAUAACUUCUGUGCUCAGGCACCUUUAGAAACAUUAGAGAUCAUCUCCCCAUGGCUAUCUCUGAAAAAGUGGACAGAUAUGGGUGUUAAAAAAAUUGGAGGCCUUUGCUCUCAAUCAACGAUUCUACCCUUCCCUGAAAUUCAACAGAAAUACAAGUUACCUAGCUUGUUUAUUUUUGCAUACCUCCAACUAAAGAGUAUUAUAAACAACAAAGUCACGUUCACAACGGACGAGUUCCCCCCACGAAAUAACCAGCUAUACGACUCCACAAUAGAUGUCUAUCAGCCCCAACGAAACCGGGAGCAUUAUCUCUCUGCUACCAGAUCCUCCUACACAAAACUCCACCUAUUUCCUUUAAAUAUGUGGCACAAUGGGAGAAAGAAGGAAUACCCAAGCUCACAGAUGAUCAAUGGCUUAAAGCAUUAAACGCACUUCGAGGCAUCACAUCCUGCUUCUCUCAUAUAGAAGCUCACAAGAAAGUGGUCUAUCGAUGGUACCUCACUCCACACAAGCUACAUAAAAUAUACCCCGCAAUAGAUCCUAAAUGCUGGAGAUGCGGUGCUGAUGAGGGACACAUGACUCACAUAUGGUGGGAAUGCAAAGAGAUCAAGCCCCUCUGGAUACGGGUACACACACUACUACAAGACGAGACGGAAGAAACACAUUCUCUUACACCUACAAUGGGCCUCUUCCUGAUUUUUCCCGACACCUGGAGGUUGGAAGCCAGAAAAAUAGCCACUUUGAUCAUACUGGCGGCCAGAAAUCUUAGCAUUACACUGGAAAUCUACAUAUUGCCCAAACAACAAAGAAUUGAUAGACAAGAUUUAC